CGGCUUCGAGGGCGGGCGGACGCGGACGGCGCUGCGGCUGCUGGACGGGCGGCUGCCGACGUACAAGUCGCUGUUCGACAUGGCGGGGGCCGC
rnacentral:tRNA from 1 species